AGGAGCCAACGGAGCCAACGGAGCCAAAGGGGCCAAAGGAGCCAACGGAGCCAACGGAGCCAAAGAAGCCAACGAAGCCAAAGGAGCUAAAGGAGCCAACGGAGCCAAAGGGGCCAAAGGAGCCGACGGAGCCAACGGAGCCAAAGGGGCCAAAGGAGCCAAAGGAGCCAAAGGAGCCAAAGGAGCCAACGGAGCCAAAGGGGCCAACGGAGCCAAAGAAGCCAACGGAGCCAAAGGGGCCAACGGAGCCAAAGAAGCCAACGAAGCCAAAGGGGCCAAAGGAGCAGAGGUGCUGGAGAUUAUGGAGAGAUCCCCAACAAUUACAAUCCACAAAACUGAUAUGAGACAAAGUCGAAAAAUAUAGAAAUGAAAAUGCAUCUUGACGUUUAGUGUCUGACUUCCACCUAAAAGCUUCUCUGUCGCUGCU
ensembl:lncRNA